rnacentral:rRNA from 1 species
GACAUUUUUAAUGUUUUAUUUUGUACAAAUUGGGGGAUCAUGAAGAUUUUAUCAGUGAGUAUGUAGACUCGGAAUGGCGAAGAUAUAUCUUAAACUAUCAGACAUAGAAUGAUAAGGUUGUAUGUCGAAAGGGAAACAGCCCAGAACAAGAGUUAAGGUUCCCAAAUUAUUUGUUAAGUGAAAAUAAGAAAGUUUUUAUUUAAGUCGACAAGGAGAUAGGCUUAGAAGCAGCCAUAAUUUUAUGACCUCGUAACAGAGCGCUUGUUAAGUUAUAAAAGCGUCGAAAAUAUAACGGAUCUAAACAAUAUACCGAAACCUUGUCCAUAAUAUAUUAUAAUAAAUAUGUUGAUUGUAAUUAAAUGGGGUAGCAGAACGUUGAGCUAAAGUAUGAGUUUUAUUUUUUAAAUAAAAUUAUAGUAAUUUAACUCAAGUGAGAAUGGUGACAUGAGUAACUAAAAGAAAAUUUUCCGCCUUAAGCUUAUGGAUGUAAUUAAGUAACGGCCUCUAAGUUUAUAUAAUCUAAAGAUUUAAACGAUGAGAAAAUCUUUAUUACUAAAAACAACAUUUUGGUGCAAAAUGUGCUGGAAAAAUAGUAAUAUAUUUGUUAUUUAAUAACAAAUAAAAUAACCGUACCUAGAAUCUGAAACAAGUAAGCUAGUAGAGAAUACGAAGGC